rnacentral:piRNA from 1 species
UGAAAGUGAGUCUUAUCCAAGUCCAUAGGUAC